UGACUGUAGGUGAAAGCUUACAUCUCUUCGGAGCAUUUUACGAGGUGCUGCAUGGUUGUCGUCAGCUCGUGCCGUGAGGUGUCGGGUUAAGUCCCAUAACGAGCGCAACCCCUACCUUAGUUGCCAUCAGGUUAAGCUGGGGACUCUAAAGGAACUGCCUACGCAAGUAGUGAGGAAGCGGGGAUGACGUCAAAUCAGCACGGCCCUUACGUCCAGGGCUACACACGUGCUACAAUGGCCGAUACAGAGGGCAGCUACCUGGUGACAGGAUGCAAAUCUCCAAAGUCGGUCUCAGUUCGGAUCGGAGUCUGCAACCCGACUCCGUGAAGUUGGAUUCGCUAGUAAUCGCGCAUCAGCCAUGGCGCGGUGAAUACGUUCCCGGGCCUU
rnacentral:rRNA from 1 species